AUUGAACGCUGGCGGCAUGCCUUACACAUGCAAGUCGAACGGCAGCACGGGUGCUUGCACCUGGUGGCGAGUGGCGAACGGGUGAGUAAUACAUCGGAACAUGUCCUGUAGUUGGGGAUAGCCCUGCGAAAGCCGGAUUAAUACCGCAUACGAUCUACGGAUGAAAGCGGGGGACCUUCGGGCCUCGCGCUAUAGGGUUGGCCGAUGGCUGUUUAGCUAGUUUGUGGGGUAAAGGCCUACCAAGGCGACGAUCAGUAUCUGGUCUGAGAGGACGACCAGCCAAACGGGGACUGGAGACAGGCCCCAGCUCCUAAGGGAGGGAGCAGUUGGGAAUUUUGGACAAUGGGCGAAAGCCUGAUCCAGCAAUGCCGCGUGUGUGAAGAAGGCCUUCGGGUUGUAAAGCACUUUUGUCCGGAAAGAAAUCCUUGGCCCUAAUACGGUCGGGGGAUGACGGUACCGGAAGAAUAAGCACCGGCUAACUACGUG
rnacentral:rRNA from 1 species